rnacentral:rRNA from 1 species
AAAGCGUUUCGCUUUGCGUGGUGCGCAAAAUGCGUAACGACAGCACGAUUACGAUUAACGGAGCGUAAGCGACGUUCAACACAAAAAUCAGGCAGUGGAGCGUUUUGGGGUGGGGUGACUGCGUACCUUUUGUAUAAUGGGUCAGCGACUUAUAUUCUGUAGCAAGGUUAACCGCAUAGGGGAGCCGAAGGGAAACCGAGUCUUAACCGGGCGUUAAGUUGCAGGGUAUAGACCCGAAACCCGGUGAUCUAGCCAUGGGCAGGUUGAAGGUUGGGUAACACUAACUGGAGGACCGAACCGACUAAUGUUGAAAAAUUAGCGGAUGACCUGUGGCUGGGGGUGAAAGGCCAAUCAAACCGGGAGAUAGCUGGUUCUCCCCGAAAGCUAUUUAGGUAGCGCCUCGUGAAUUCAUCUCCGGGGGUAGAGCACUGUUUCGGCCAGGGGGCCAUCCCGGCUUACCAAUCCGAUGCAAACUGCGAAUACCGGAGAAUGUUAUCACGGGAGACACACGGCGGGUGCUAACGUCUGUCGUGAAGAGGGAAACAACCCAGACCGCCAGCUAAGGUCCCAAAGUCAUGGUUAAGUGGGAAACGAUGUGGGAAGGCCCAGACAGCCAGGAUGUUGGCUUAGAAGCAGCCAUCAUUUAAAGAAAGCGUAAUAGCUCACUGGUCGAGUCGGCCUGCGCGGAAGAUGUAACGGGGCUAAACCAUGCACCGAAGCUGCGGCAGCGAACGUAUCACCCAAGACAGCUUUACACAGUUGACGACUGACGGAGCGAAGCGACGUCAAAGCGUUUUACAACGUCGAGUUGGCUUAGGGAUACGUUCGUUGGGUAGGGGAGCGUUCUGUAAGCCGUUGAAGGUGUGUCGUGAGGCAUGCUGGAGGUAUCAGAAGUGCGAAUGCUGACAUAAGUAACGAUAAAGCGGGUGAAAAGCCCGCUCGCCGGAAGACCAAGGGUUCCUGUCCAACGUUAAUCGGGGCAGGGUGAGUCGACCCCUAAGGCGAGGCCGAAAGGCGUAGUCGAUGGGAAACGGGUUAAUAUUCCCGUACUUGGUGUUACUGCGAAGGGGGGACGGAGAAGGCUAUGUUGGCCGGGCGACGGUUGUCCCGGUUUAAGCGUGCAGGUGUGUGUUCCAGGUAAAUCCGGUUCACUUUAACACUGAGGCGUGACGACGAGGCAC